rnacentral:lncRNA from 1 species
GAGGGGAAGAAAAUGCCAGACUGUGAGAGUCAUAAGCCGAGGGCCAGACUGUGAUAGUCAUAAGCCGAGGACCAUCGCUGUGAUUGUGUGAGCCGAGGUAAGCUUGGUGCUACCUCUUUUCUUUUGUUUGUUAUUUUCUUUGAAUAAGAAGAUUGAGAGUUUCUGAAUAUUGUGAAGUGAAUUAUGGAAUGGAAAUGUGAUUAAUAUUAUUUGAGAAGAAGAAAGAUUGAAUGCUGAAAUCUGAUUGUAGUUCAGCAGAGAGAAUGAGUGUGUCUUUGUGUGAAACACUAUAAUGUGAAUGGCAGUUCUGUAUGAAGAAUUCUAGUAAUUGGAACGAGGGUAAUUGUGUGUUGAAAGCUGUGAGGGCACAGUAUUACAGUUGGAGAUUAUGAGGGUGAAUAUAUUGGUAGAAAUAGUAGUUAUUAGUAUGACUGAAUUAUUGUAAGGAAGAGACCGAUAAAGUGAAGGAAGAGAUUAUAAUUUCUUUGUGUGUUCAGAUAUUGAAAAUAGAGAGGAUACAUUCAGGAGGUAAUUGAUUGUGUGACCCUAACAUGAACGCUUAAGUAACUAGUCAUUGUCCAUGUUUGAAUCCCUGUAUACAAAUUUAUGCCGGGAGGUUUCUUCCGGAAUAAGUAAAACGAGCAAUCACAUAUUGGCACCGCUGCCGGAGAGUGAUAAUAGCUUUGAGUAUUAGGAAUUAAUUACCAAACGUGUGGGAAAAUUGGCAAUGGAAGACGAUUUGAAUAGUGUUUGAAGCAAGAUUAUGGUUAAUAAAAACGAGAGCAUUACAUCGAGGAAAAUAAAUCAGUUGAGAGAAAGACAAGGAAGAGCGCAAGGAAGAAACUUACUUAGAGAAGAGCAAGAAUGUAAUCUUAAAAAGAAGCAUUGACAGAAUUAGAUUAAACCAUGGUUGUAAGCUUGUCGGUGCAUCCAAAAAUAUCAAGAAGUGGACAAACUGUUAAUUCUCUAGUCGUAUGUACCAUUAGAAAAACUGCCAAGAACACUCGUGGGAAAUUUUAUUAACAUUCUAAUAGAAAUCUUGGGGCCAUUAACUAAAAAAGAAGAAGGCGUAGAAGAAUUUGGUACUCCAUUGGGUAUUUUUUCAGUAGAGGGUACCGCUGAAACGAGCAAUAGUGGCUCUUCAGAUUGGCACAAAUUGGUCACCAAUAAAGACAACUAUAUUAUAUUUUAAAAUCUAACAUUUUCACGUACAACUCAACCAAUAAAACUAAUUAUAAAAAAUAACAAUAAAUCGAGGAGUACUGAGAGCUCAGAAAUUAGAAUAAAGAAAAGUAGAGAUUAUUUUAAAAUGGAGUUUAGGAGAACAAGAAAUUCAAUGGUGUCAGAAAGACCAAUCAUUGUCGUAUUACAUGCUUUCCUGCUCGAGAACGCGCCGAGCAUCUGGCUGUAGAAGGUAGUAUGAAGAUUCGCUAAUUUUCAAGCAGUCUAUCGGUUUUUGACUGUUAGAAUAUAAACAACUAUAAGAAUAUAUCAUAAAUCUAUACGGAUGUCCUUCGACUGCUUGCCGAAAUCCUUUUUGUCCCAGAUGGUAGGUCUCUAGACGUUACAGAGAACCCCAAACAAUCUGAUCUGCUAAUCUCCGAUACCGCUUUAUACUCACACCUUGUAUCCACUGACUGUCUUGUUAGAUUAACCCAAUAAAUUUCAUUCACUCCGCAUACUCAAUCCUAUAGACACCCUUUUAAUUCUUCAAUCAUAGACGUAACAUUGUUUCACAAAACAGUCAAGAAUAAUUAUACCCACUUCAUUAAAAUCUCGAUUCACCAAUACAACACUGACUUCAGCAACGAUUACCUUAGUCUUCCCAAAAUUCCAUGAAGAAAAAAAAUCCCAAUUCUCUAUUUUUUUUCCCCGCCUGAAGCAUGAAGCUAGUUCUCCGACCCUUAAAAAAAACUUAUUCUCCCCCUUCUCAUUUCUUAACUUGUCCUCUUCUUUAACCCUAAUUCUCCCCUCUUUCAAACCCUAGCCUCUGAAUUUCUUCAAUCUUCCGUCUUGGAUCCGGAAUUACCUCCGCCGUAAGAGCUUUCUCCUCCGUUUUUACCUUUAAGAGAUCCUUUUACCGAAAGGAUGUUCCCGGAACGGUACAAAGGACAAAACAGCCUGAAACAAAAUUGGAGCCCCGUAAUCGGGACCAGAUUGAGUCGCCCGAUCAAUUCAGGUCUCAUAUUGGCUAAGAGGUCCGUAGUAAGACCUGGAUGUUCCUGUAAUUGGACCGCAUUGGGUUGCCCAACCAAGUCGGGUCUCAUAUUGAGUAAGAGGUCCGUAAUAGGACCUAGAUUGGAUGUCUUGAAAUUGGAUCCAAUUGGCUCUUUGAAUCAGGCUCACCCGUCGUUGAACUGGUCCUUUUUCUUUCUGCAGACUCCCGUUAUUGGAAUCGAAUAGAGCAUUUCAAUAUGCCCCGGCUGACUGUAAUGGGGUGACUCAACUUGGCCUCUCAGUAUUUGCACUAGAAUUGGUUGUUGCUCCCAAUAUUUGAGGUAACUAAACAUCAAUAAAAGUCCCCUUUUUUUAUAUUUUCAUGGUAUACUCGUGUUACAACACGACAUCCAUCCCCUCUGAACCUGUGCAUCCUUCGGUAUGCACCAAUUUACCCAAUUACUGUGUGACUUAUAAUAUAUUCUCUACGUCUUUGUCUAGUUCGUCUUCAUCACCUUCAUUAUCCAAAUCACUUUCAUCUUCUUGCUGCAUACCUAACUUACGUAAUUCUCCUUCAAUAUCAUAUAAUCUUUUUAUUUCUUUUCUUUUAAAAUCAUCAACUUUCUUAUUCAUAAUAUUUCCAUUCUCCAAAAUACCAAUAAAACUCGCAUCAAAGGCACCCUCAUCUCGCGAGAGUACCUCCUCUUUUGUACCUCUAUAAUCUUGCUUUACAGUGGUACCUCCCCAAAAUCCUUAAAUCCUUCAACAAUCUUUGGCAAUGGUUUCUCCCUCAACCUAUCUCGAUUCCGUUCAUAGUUAGGAGGUACUGUUAGAAAUUGUAUAGCUUUCCUCCCAUCUUCGCUACGUACCAUUACAUAAGUAGAACCAUCGUCAAGUAUUUUUGUUUCCAUCUGUGUUGCCAUAAUAUAAUGUUGUCCUAAAAUCAACGGAUAAGAUGUUGUAUCUUGAACAAAGAAAUGUUGCUCCGUCGCAACAUCCCCAAUCCAAAUUUUGACAUCUGGACAAGCUUCAUAUAAUUCGCCCCAUGUGUUAUUAGCUGCUCGUAUUGCCCAUCCAUGUUCGAUAUCAAUUGGCUAUUUUUGCUUCUUAUAAAGAUCUUUAGACAUGAGAUUUAUUUCAGAACCAUGGUCGACUAAAGCAACAAUUGGUUCUUCUAUAUCUCCUACUUUCACCAAUACCUCUAUAGUUGCCCUUGUCCAAUGCUUUCGAGUAUAAUGGCUCAAAGUUUCUAUUUUCUUAUCACUAUAAUCUUUGAAACGUAUUCGUUGAUUAUACCCAUUCUUUUCAUUUGUUGGUUGCUUGUAACCAAUAUCAACCUCUUCUUCAUCUUUAUAUAUUCUUGCAUCAAUAGCAUGACUCAUUCCAGUUUCGCCCAUUAAUUACCUCUUUUCCUUAAUACUGUCAAUGAUAACAUCAUGAAACUCCUUCUUUACAAUUCCCAUGACUUCUUUCAAUAUGAAUUCCACCUUAGCAUUUAAUAUACGUUCUUCCAACUUCCUUUUUAAAUUUGUUGUUGUUUCAAUGUCAGAAAGUAGCUUAUAAGCAAUUGAUUUGCCCUUAUCUUUUGUCUCCCUUGUUUUUUCUUCCAAUGAUGCUGAGAUAUCCUUUACAGGCAAUUCUUGUGAAGCUGCCUUCCGAGCCUUGUUUCCUCAAGUUUACCUCUUAGAAAAAUUUCCUUCUCUCGUAUCAUCAAAAUUUUCUCGUCUCUUUUCUUCCAUGAAAGCUUCAUGUUGGCUCUUAGCAAUAUAUGCAUGAACUGAAAGAGACUCAACAGGAUCCUCCCAACCUGUUGCACCUCGUAUUGUAGCUGCAGUCUUCAAUAAUGCUUCUCAAGGUAAUUUCCCUUCUUGCAUUGUAGAAAUGGCAGAAGUCCAAAACUCACUAGUUUCCGUACUUCCACCAAGGUCAUCAUCUAUUCUAGCACCAUAACUUGUACUUUCUCGUGCUGCUAUUUUAUGCUCUUUUAAGUAAUCUUGAACCAAUACUCUCAUUCUUUCCUUACCAAAAUUGGUUUGAAGAAGAUCCUCCCUAUCUUUUAAUGCUAUCUUCCCAUCUUUCCAGUAAAUAAUUUCCUGCCAUAUCAUAUUAUUAAAUUCAUUGCAAUCUUUCCUAGUGUGUGAAGUGUCAUCACACUAAAUGCAUCUUUGUACAUAUCCUUGUUUUGAAACAUUCUUCAAAUUAUUUGUAGAAGUAUUCUCUUCAAGUCUUGCUAAUUUGAUUUGAAGAUCUCGCAUUCCUCAUAUAAUUUCUUCCAUCUCCAUAUCUGCUUUCUUUGAUAAGGAUGUCGAAGGUUGAACUGUAGGCAUUGUUAGUGGUGUUGUAUGUACUAGAGCUUUGGGUGCUUGUACUGUUUUCGGAAUAUUGCUCCUAUCCUUCCUCCUUUCUCUUUUUGUAAGCAACUCCACCGCAUCUUCAACGUUCUUCCAUUUUGUUGUCAAUCCUUCAUCUUCUUCUUUGUCUUUAAGAAGGAGUUCCAAUUUUCCUUACAAUUCUCCAUCAACAGCUUGAAGAAAUAGAUCAACUUUGUUUGACUCCAAUGUCAAUUUUUCUACCUUCGAUAAUUGAAAGUACUGUCUCUCAAAUUCCCUUAGUAGCUCUGUUGCUUGCAAAUUCUUAUUAGACCGUUCAAUCCAUUCUAGAAACAACUUCUUAGUAAUGCGAUCAGCAUCUUCCAAGAAAUAUUCGUCUUUUAAUGCAUGUGAAAAAACCUCCCAUGAAUUCCCAUAACAAUCCAUAAACGAUGUAAUAUGGUCUCUUAUCUCCGGUAUCAUGGCAAGUCCAAAUAAUUCAACCAUUUUCUUCUCAGAAACUCGAUUUAAUUCCAUUUCACGAACAUAACAUCUUGAAUACCUUGAAAUAUUCCUUCCAUCAAAUUGAUCAAUUUUAUUGACCACUGCUUGCAAUGCUUUGGUUAUCAAAGCUUCCUUUCGAUCAUUGCUUUGUUGUUACUGCAUUGAUAAUGAGAAGGCUUGAAACAUACUAGCAAUAGAUGGAUCCAUGUGCAUACCUUGUUCUUUAGAAGAACCUCUACCAGAAACUCCUCCCAAAGAUCCUUCAAAAUUUUUAUUUUCGUUUUCCAUAAAAAUAAAAAUAAAAAUAAAAAUCAAACGAAAUGCAAUACCUUCCACCUCAAGCUUUCACGUCGAGUUCACUACUUUUGUCGUAUUACGUGCUUUCUUGCUCGAGAAUGCACCGAGCGUCUGGCUGUAGGAGGUAGUAUGGAGAUUCGCUAAUAUUCAAGCAAUCUAUCAGUUUUUGACUAUUGAAAUAUAGACGAUUGCAAAAAUAUAUCGUAAAUCUAUACGAAUGUCCUUCAAUUGCUCGCCGAAAUCUUUUUUGCCCCAGCCGGUAGGUCUCUAGAUGUUACAGAGAACCCCGAACAACCCGAUCUGCUAAUCUCCAAUACCGCUUUAUACUCACGACCUUGUAUCCACUAACUGUCUUGUUAGAUUAACCCAAUAAAUUUCAUUCACUCCGCAUACUCAAUCCUAUAGACACCCUUUUAAUUCUUCAAUCACAGACGUAACUUCGAUUUCACAAAACAGUCAAGAGUAAUCACACCCACUUCAUUAAAACCCCGAUUCACCAGUAUAGGAGUGACUUCAGUAACGAUUGCCUUAGUCUUUCCAAAACCCUAUGAAGAAAAAAAACCCCAAUUCUCUAUCUUUUUUUCCUACUCGAAGCAUGAAGCUAGCUCUCCGACCCUUAAAAAAAACUUAUUCUCUCCCUUCUCAUUUCUUAAUCUCUCCUCUCUUUUAACCCUAAUUCUCCCCUCCUUCAAACCCUAGCCUCUGAAUUUCUUCAAUCUUCCGUCUUGGAUCUGAAAUUGGCUCUGCCGUCAGAGCUUUCUCCUCCGUUUUUACCUUUAAGAGAUCUUUUUACUGAAAGGACGUUCCUGGAAUGGCACAAAGGAUGGAACAGCCUGAAACGAAAUCGGAGCCCCGUAAUCAGGACCACAUUGAAUUGCCUGACCAAUUCAGGUCUCAUAUUGGCUAAGAGGUCCGUAGUAAGACCUGGAUGUUCCCGUAAUUGGACCGCAUUGGAUUGCCCGACCAAGUCAGGUCUCAUAUUGGGUAAGAGGCCCAUAAUAGGACCUGGAUUGGAUGUCUUGAAAUUGGAUCCAAUUGGCUCUUCGAACCAGGCUCACCCGUCAUUGAAUUGGUCCUUUCCCUUUGUGCUGACUCUCGUUAUUGGAAUCGAAUGGAGCAUUUCAGUAUGCCCCGGCUGAAUGUAAUGGGGUGAUUGAACUUGGCCUCUCAAUAUUUGUCCUGGAAUUGGUCGUUGCUCCCAAUAUUCGAGGUAACUGAACAUUAAUAAAAGUCCCCUUUCUUUAUAUUUUCAUGGUAUACUCGUGUUACAACAUGACACCAUUCCGAUUGUAGUACAAAUGGAUGCAAUAGGCAAUCGUAUGACUAGUAUCGUGCUACUACCUACUUUUUGGAGAUUUUAGGGUGCGGAUCCUGAUUAGUAUUUGUCUCAGUUUCUUACAGCAUGUGUAGCUAAUAAUGGCAGAACUGAAGAUAUUUGGUUGCGUUGGCUACCAGCAACCUUAAAAGACACGACGUUUGAAUGGUACAACCGCCAACUAGUGGGUCAAUUUCUGAAUUGGGAAGCAUUAAAGAAUGUAUUUUUAUCUCAUUUUUGGCCAAUUGGUUUUGAGGACCGCCUUUGAGGGAGGUUAAUGAACAGCAAAAUGAUCCUAGGGGAGGCAGUGGAAUCGUACUAUGGCUGAAUGGCUGAUAUACUUAGUAAGUGGCCGAAUCACCAAAUGUCGGAGGUAUUUAUCUUAUCCAUAUUAAUCAAUGGUUUGCAUCCACCAGAGCUAAAAAUAUUUAUAAAAAAAACUCAACCUGUUAUAGUGGCUGCGUCCCUUAAUAAAGUCAAGGUUUGGAAGGAAUGUCAUUAUGAUCAGUUUUUAACUACGGGAGCCACGAUGAUUCCAGUUCAAGGUAGAUAUCAAAAUCUGACUAGAAACAAAUCAGUGGAUAGUUAUCCAUGGAUGUUAGAAACAGGGGUCAAUUCUAAUACCAAUAUUCAGGGGCCAGUUAAUGUCACCCCAUUGCAAGCUAUACCACCGAACGUGACAAUAGCGUAUGCUCCAUAUUUUCUAUAUCAAUAACAAGCAUUAACUAUGACAGAGAUACCAACAAUGUCAGCCCUAAAAGAUUCCAAUGAAACCUUAUUAUUAAAUUUGAGGAAGAAAAUGGAAGAAAUGGCUGUCAAUAUGGCCAAAGAUAAGGAGAAGAGGCAAAAGCCUACCAAUACUAGGACCAAUGUAUGGUGCAGUAAUUGUAAGGACCACAGUCAUUCUAUAACAGAAUGCCCCUCACCCUCACAAAUAAUGGGUCAAUGUAUAUUUUACGGAAGAAAGCAUCUAACAGCAAAUUGUUGGAAUUGGCAAGGACAACAACAACAAUUUAGUAAUCAGACCAUGAUCCCGCCAAACCAGUGGAACGUCAAUCAAGUACAAAUAGGAAAUAUAUUUGGAUAGAAUAGAAAUCGAUUUAAUCGAAAAAAUCGAGCAUUCAAUAACUUUCAAAGUUUCAAUUUUAAUCAAUUGUCUGUAUUGAACCCCCAGAACUAGAGUAAGGAGCAGCAGAGGUAUCAAUAAUAUGCUCCAUUGAUGUCAUCAAACCAAGUUCUCUCAGUACCAAUUGGAUAACCAGGAUCAUUUUUUAACCCUAUAUGGAGCAAGCCUAGUAGGUAUAUACCGAUGGAGGCAUCCAAUAUGCCUGAUGGGAGUUCAAGAAGACCACUUCGUUGUUUUCGUUGUAGACAGAUUGGUCAUUAUGCCAAUAAAUGUCCUAAUCCAAGGGCCAGUAAUGACUAUGCUCCAAUAUGUAGAAAUUGUAAGCAGUCUGGUUACACUUAUCAACAGUGUAAUGCGCCCUUCAAUUAUAAUAACUGGGACUUGCAAAUGCAAACAAGUCAACCGACGGAGGACAAAGGCCCUGUUCAACGAGACUCACCAGUACAUCGUAUCGAGGUGGUGAACGCAGUGCUUACCAGAGGCCAAUAAAAAGACACGAAUCCAAUUCAGGACCUGGAUGAACCAAUCGCAGGAGAGCAAGUAGCACAGUCCAUGGGGCUAAACGAACCAAUAUCAGUAUUGGGACGUAUUCCAAUAUUGAGACAUCAACAGAUUGAGGAAUCCAAUUCGGUCCCAUGUGCCAAUUUAUCGGGACCAUCAAGAUCGAUCUCAACUGACUAAGUACCAAUAUCUGUACAGUCCAAUAAAAGAUCUUACGCAUUAAAGGAACCUUUAGUAGUAAAAAAGUUGGCGAACUUAUCAAUGAUAAUCCCAAUCACCAAAAAGAAAUUGCUGCCAAAUGGAGUAAAAUCGAAACCAAUGAAAUACAAAAGAGCAUUGGAAAUUACUCUCAAUAUGGAACCCUACGACAUUCUGAAGGAUUUGGAUGUUAUUCAGCCUUCAAUUAUAAUGAAGCAACUUUUGGUUGUAGCACCGGAAUGUCGAUCUUCAUUGAAUUCAGUAUUAAUAUGACGAAGAUCUCGCACUGAAGAAAUUCAUGAAGUUAGCUUAAAUCCAGAUCUAGGAGCACCAACAAUCGAUGUAUCAAUCGAUGGCGUUUCAAUUCCAGGGAUAGAAGUGGAUGGUGGCUCCAGUGUGAAUUUAAAGAAUGCGGAUAUAAUAGAGGACUUGGAUCUAAAGCAAUUGCUACCUACGACAUUGGUCUUGCGAAAGGUAGAUCAUAGUCAAGUAAAGUCAAUGGAAAUCUUACAUAAUAUUGCCACUGUAAUCGUGGGAUUGACAUACAAAAUUGAUUAUAUUGUAUUUCGAUUACAGAGUUCUAUGUUAUCGUAUUCUAUUUUAUUGGGCAGACCUUGGCUUUAUCAAGCCAAAGCUAAGAACGAUUGGGGCCGAGGUACAUUGACAAUUGGAAAAGGCCAUGACCAGAUUGUUCUAUAGAUGUAUCCGGUACAAUAUCAUGGAGAAUCUCAAUUGCUAGAAUCAGAAUUUACAUUGGACAAUGAAAGUCAAUCAAUUGAGAAAGGUGACGAUGCUAUAGGUUCACCGCAAUUUGGGGUAGGAUAGAACACUUCAAGAGCAAAGGCAGGAGUCUACCAAUGUGGAGGUCCCGGUGAAUAUUUACUACAGCAGGAGGAUGUGACUAACUCGGAUCAUGCUAUUGCUAAAUGGAUGAACAAUUCCACAGUCAAUAGAGUCAGCACAUUGGAACUAGAUUUGGGUGGUUCCCAUAUGUCGGAUAAUACAAGAUAUUUAGAUCAAGAGAAGACAAUUAAAUCAGAGGUUGUUGAAGACCUUGUGUGUCAAUCUAUUAACUUGGGCACCAACAAAAUGCCACAGCUAAUUAAAAUAUAUGCCUAUAUUAUCGGUACAGAAUUGGAUGCUUGAAAAUAAUUUUUCAUCCAUCACAAAUCUACCUUUGCAUGGUCAUAUGCAGAUUUGAAAGGGAUUUCAGUUGACGUGUGUGAGUACCAGAUUAUUCUGGAGGAGGGUAUUAUGCUAGUUCGUCAAAGAUAACACCGGCUUAAUCCAAAAUAUUUUCUUUUAGUGAAAGAGAAAUUAGAUAAACUUCUCGACGUGGGUUUUAUUUAUCCUGUUCCACAUAGUACAUGGGUAUUGUCAAUCGUGAUGGUACCGAAGAAGAAUGGAAAAAUCAGGAUAUGUCAAGAUUUUCAAAAGUUAAAUGUGGCCACCAAGAAAGAUUACUUUCCAUUAGCUUUCACGAACAAUAUGGAGAACAUGUUGUCAUUAUCACCAAGUAGUAAAAGAAUAGGAGUGGAGCACCAGUUAAAGUCUCUUUGUGGUGUUGUUUUGGGUUGGCUGGAGUGCCAUUUUCUUGUAUUUCUUGUAUUUUCGAGAGUAGUAGUUCCAAUUAAGACAUAAAAAUGAGGAGCCGGUCACAAGUGUCGAUUGAAGAUAUUCUAAAAUGAAUGAGCAACAGCAACAAUUGAAACUUCAGGAUGUCAAGAUCCUGAAAUUGGAGGCUCAAGUCCGUGUACUGGGUGAGUAUAAUGAAGACCUUUUAGCUCAGUUGAGGCAGGAGCCAAUGGAAGGAUUGGAAGAAGAUGAAGAUUUGCAGUUGGAACUGGAAUCGGUGGAACCAAUAACAGAUACUAUGGCAAUUAAUUAAUUAGAUAGGCCAGAGGGAUCGCAAUUUUUGUAGAAUUUUGUUAGAUAAUUUUUAGAUAGGUAUCAAUUGAGUGUUUGCAAGGACGCUCCACAGUUAGGAGUGGAGCUAUGUAAAAAGAGUAGUUAUUUUUAGAAUGUAGAUACUUAGUGUAUAGUGUAAACAGAAAUAGAUAAUUGUUGAAAAGGUGGUUCAGCAAGUAGAAUGGAUGAAUAGUCAAGAAAAGUAGUUCUCAUCUAUAGUAUAGGAGUUGGUCUCUCGGGGUAGUAUAAGGAGGAUGGGAGAGGGGAAGAACAUGCCAGAUUGUGAGAGUCAUAAGCCAAGGGCCAGACUGUGAUAGUCAUAAGCCGAGGACCAUCGCUGUGAUAGUGUGAGUUGAAGUAAGCUUGGUGCUACCUCUUUUCUUUUGUUUGUUAUUUUCUUUGAAUAAGAAGAUUGAGAGUUUUUGAAUAUUGUAAAGUGAAUUAUGGAAUGGAAAUGUGAUUAGUAUUAUAUGAGAAGAAGAAAGAUUGAAUGCUAAAAUCUGAUUGUAGUUCAGCAGAGAGAAUGAGUCUGUCUUUGUGUGAAACACUAUAAUGUGAAUGGCAGUUCUGUGUGAAGAAUUCUAGUGAUUGGAACGAGGGUAAUUGUGUGUUGAAAGCUGUGAGGGCACAGUAUUACAGUUGGAGAUUAUGAGGGUGAAUAUAUUGGUAGAAAUAGUAGUUAUUGGUAU